rnacentral:hammerhead_ribozyme from 1 species
AUCUAGCUUAUGAGUCGCAAAUAGGGCGAAAUAUGCGUCCUGGAU